AGCAAAACUCCAAUAUGAUGAGAAACAUUCUUUGAACCUCAAUAUUUAGGAAGAGCCGGAAGAGGUAUGACAGAGAAAGAUGAAAAGAAAGUCUUCUCUGUCGUCGAUGCUUAGAAUGGUUCUGCUGAUGGAGUUUGUUUU
rnacentral:snoRNA from 1 species